AGCAGCCGCGGUAAUUCCAGCUCCAAUAGCGUAUAUUAAAGUUGUUGCAGUUAAAAAGCUCGUAGUUGAAUUUCGGGACCAAUUUGUUGGUCGUGCCUCGGUACGUACUGGUAUUAUUGGUUUCUCCCUUCUGAAGAACCUCGAUGCCAUUAAUUUGGUGUCGUGGGGAAUCAGGACUGUUACUUUGAAAAAAUUAGAGUGUUUAAAGCAAGCAUACGCUUGAAUACAUUAGCAUGGAAUAAUGAAAUAGGACGUUUGAUUCUAUUUUGUUGGUUUCUAGGAUCGACGUAAUGAUUAAUAGGGAUAGUUGGGGGCAUUAGUAUUCAAUUGUCAGAGGUGAAAUUCUUGGAUUUAUUGAAGACUAACUACUGCGAAAGCAUUUGCCAAGGAUGUUUUCAUUAAUCAAGAACGAAAGUUAGGGGAUCGAAGACGAUCAGAUACCGUCGUAGUCUUAACCAUAAACUAUGCCGACUAGGGAUCGGAUGAUGUUAAUUUUUAAUGACUCGUUCGGCGCCUUACG
rnacentral:rRNA from 1 species